CCCUAGAUGUUCUGGGCCGCACACGCGCUACACUGAAGGAGGCAGCGUGUACUCCUGGAUCGAAAGAUUUGGGUAACCCGCGAAUCUCCUUCGUGCUAGGGAUUGAGGUUUGCAAUUAUCCUUCAUGAACGAGGAAUUCCCAGUAAGUGCAAGUCAUAAGCUUGCGCUGACUACGUCCCUGCCCUUUGUACACACCGCCCGUCGCUACUACCGAUUGAAUGAUUUAGUGAGGACUUCGGACUGGGACCGAUGCGGCUUUCGGGCUGCGUCGGUAUUCUGGAAAGAUGUCCAAACUGUAUCAUUUAGAGGAAGUAAAAGUCGUAACA
rnacentral:rRNA from 1 species